CUGUUAUUUUUUUUCUAUCAUUUCUUACCAUACCAUGCAUUAGUAACUUACUAAUAAAAGUAAAUGUGCCACAUCAAACCGGCUGCCAUUUUCAGACGCAACCAGCCAAACACAUUAAACAGCCCGUAAACAAAAAAUGUAAUUAACUCAUAAGUAGUCCCAGGUGUGAUCGCUGAGAGGCGGGAUUUUAUUACCAAAACCAGCCAAUGAGGGCCCAGAACAGGAGCCGUCAGACUUUACAAGCGCCGUCUCAACACUUGUCACAAGCUCUACACUAACCUAUUCAAGCUUGCGAUACUUGUUGCUUUUGUGUGCCACAGCCCAUUUAGUGCGAACAAAUCCCAUUUCCUCCCAUUGUUUCAGGUUAUAUACUCGCCCUACUGUCUCCUUUUUUAUUAUCCGGUGUUGACCAGAAACUCCCACGGGAUUGUGUGGAACUUAAACACGUCGCCACACUCCUUAACGGUGAAUAAAGUCAUUCUGGUCGAAGCUUGUUGUCUUCACUUAUCGGGGAUUUUUUAAAAAGCAGAAGAGGAGGUGGUAAAUCCCUCGAGUUCCAUGAAACAAGUCAGUUCCCAGGCUUGCUAGAGCAAAGGAAUGAGAGAGGAAAGUGAUACUUGAAGGCUUUUUUGCCUCGGGCAUGGAAGAUGACACGAUGAGAGACAUGCCUGUCUUCUGUCCCUACAGCAAACGGGCCUCCGAAUGUUGAUUUUCAUUCAUCAGUUCCAGAUCGAUGUUGUUAUUGUGAGGCAUGUUCUUGCUGAGCGUAAGGAUGUACAAUUAUUGCAACUUUGCACACAUCAGAGUUACAGAAAAGAACAAAUAAAUAAAUAAAAAAGGACUCCAGCUUGAGAAAGAAACACAGGUGAGAUAUCACAAGUGGUUUGGCUCUGUUCCUGGACGGGCCGGUAGCAAGACAGGUUCAUCAAGGAGUUUUGUGGUCAGACUCCCUUCCUCUAUCUUUCGAGUGAGUACUUGCACACAUCAGCACAAAAUAGCAGCAGUGCAUCAUCAGUAGCCAGAUCAAUGUCUUUGAUAUGUGGCUGAGUCAUAGGAAACCAACAGAUCCAACAUGCUUAAUGCUGAUGCUGUGUGAUUGAGUCAUAGAUUCAUGAACAGGCGGCCCAGAGGAGCAGAUGAUCACCAGGACCCCCCAAUCCACAGGCCGCCUACUUCCUGUGCGACUGGAGUUGUAGGACUUUGUCCUAAUUUUCCUGACUUGACACAGCGGAGUCUGUUUAAAAAAAAAAAAGCUUCAAAAAUUGAGAAAAUGAACCAUCUUUUUUUUUCCCCCAAAGCGGAUUAUAAUACCUCGAAGACAAUCAAGGACGCUUCAUCCACCCUCUCCUGAUUUCCACUCCUCUUUUUUUUUUUUUUUUUUCCUGCCCCAAAGGCUUCCCCUCUCUGAGUUCCUCCGAGUGUGGAAUCUCCCUAAAUUCCUGAACGAGGACAACAGCUGCUCAUCGGCUCACAGGCAAAACAAACAGGAGAGCCGAAAAGCAGAGCACGGGGCGUGCUGGUAAUUGUUAAAGAGGUGAUUACAUCAGUGACAGUAUAUCAGUAGCCGCCCAACAGGAAGAAGCAUCUCAACGUUGCUUUGAAGAGUAAUAACGUUUAUUCAUGUCAACCUCAUUAAUUCUGGUUCAUGGGAAAUUCGAACAAAUAUUGUGCAAUUAUGUUAUUAGUAAAAGCAGGUGACUGGUUUCUAUAGGUAUAACAGGAGUUGAGAUAAAUGUGACAAUUAUUUGUCUGUUUCUUCCAUUUUUGUAAAAACAAAACGCACCUAAACGUUUCUAAUCGGUGAAUUUAAGU